UCAGGAUCUCACGACCCGCUUGGCUUCUUUUACCUUUAAAGACACUUUUCUUGGUGUAACGUACACGACACAACUCACGAGUCUCCUGGUGUAACGUGUACGGCUCAGGGCACUUAGUGCGGUGUCGUGCGGCCAUCGCCGCUGUCCACUUCCAGACUGUCUGCACCGCCCCGGCGGACGGGGACCCACGAAGCAGCCCUCCCAUUCUCCCGCGGCAGCCAGGCCGGCCUGCCCUGGACGUGUCAUGUGGGUGGAGUCGUGACCUGUGGCUUUUGUGGCUGGCUUCUUUCACUCGGCCAUUGCGCCCGAGGUUCGCCGGUGCUGCAGCGAGUCAGCGCCACACUGCUUUUCACGGCUGAGUAAUAUUCCUCGGCGCGGCCGGACCGCUUUCCAUUCACCCUUCCCCCUCCCUGGCCAUCUGUGCUGUUUCCACUUUUUGGCCAUGGUGAAUGUGCUGCCACGAACAUUCACGCGCAGGUUAACGGGACACCGUUUUUGGGUCUUGGAGCAUAGACCCGGAGUGGAGUUCCUGGGUCAUCUGGCUGAAUUUAUUGAGGAACUGCCAAGCUUUCUCUUGCCUUCCUAAUGCUUUCCGAAAAAUAAAAAUUCACCAUAACAUUGGUAUUUCAAAAUCAAUCAUAGGAUGGUUAAAGAAUUUCUAGACUGAAUGUUAAAAACCUUAAGAGGUUUCUCCGAGGCCAAAAUUCAUUCAGAACUCUGCUAAGUCAACGAGCGAGCUUGAGACAGUUACCGUAUUUGUUUACCUCCAGCCAUGGCUGGUUCUUUCCUAAAACAUUCAGCCUUUUUCAAAAUUCGGCAUCUCUUUAGAAGACGGUUAUAAAUAGAUUAUACUGUCACUGCCCACUUUGGUUUUAUACUUUUUCUGGGUCACAUGGAAGCUCUCUAAUCUCUUCUGUGAUUUGGUUAAAUGUAGAUUAAUCCAAGGCAAAUCCGAGUUACUGACCCAUCUUCCUUUUUAUGGUGCCUUUUGCUUAAAUUUCAUGGUUGCCCAGGACAGGGUAGAAGAGAAAUAAAGUGAUUACAGAUAUCACAGAGAAUGCUGAUAAUUUCCCAACCUCGAAUUGGCUGAUGAUGAUCCCGUCCCAGCUUAAAGUGAACCCUGUGAAGAAUGAGGGUGUCGGAUGUCCUAGGCACGCCAGCGUGACUGCACCGCUGGAUUAGAUCCCUAGUACCAGAAACCAUGGUGACAUCCCCCUCCACCAGCAUCCUUCGCCACGAGUCUUCAGGUCAUGACCGUGCCAUCUUCUGCAGGAAGCGGUUUCUGCUUUUCCUACCAGGGCAGGCAGAAUCCUGCCUACUUAGCUCGGCUUGCGACCAUGAAGAGAUACCCGUUCUAGAAGGCUCCCGUUGUGGCCAGGCCUUCCUCGUGCAUCCAGGAAGUCCCUGCUCUGAUGCACUUGGCAUGUCCGUAGUCUUUUUCCUAAACUCCCAGUUGCACUUCGUCACUGUCCUGUUUAAUAACUGCCAAUGUUUUUUCAGUAUCUAAAAAUGACGUCAGAAGCCAGAUCCGUGGAAUGGGGCGGGGCGGACUCCUCCCCAGCAGCAUGCACCUGCCUGUGGGAACCAGCCAGCAAGGCUGGGCUGAGCGGGUCAGAUACCCAGGCGGCAAGGGGAGGGGGCAUCCCUCUCAGUGUCCCAGCAUGGCUUCCUACGUCUGCGUCAGCCCCUGCGGUCCUCAGACACCGCCCCCACCCCGGGGGAUUUGCGUCUGAGUGGUAGGUGACCCUGCGCUAACCAGAACAAAGCCCUGAUCAAGCCUCUGGGGCUCAAGUUGCUGACCACUGGGCUUCCGGGCUGCUGCGCUGCCCAGUGCCAACCCAUGCCGACCCUGCCGGGGGUCCUGAGCCCCUGCAGCCACACAGGUCACACAGAUGAUGAAACUAACACAUGCUCAUUGCAGAAAACUUGGAAAAUACAGAAGAAACUAAAAAAUCACCCAUGAUCCUACCUCCCAGUGAUAACUGCUAUUAACAUACAAAAUGUCAGAGUGUGUGUGUGUAUAAUUUUUGUAAUA